AGUGAAUAGAUACCCCGGUAGUCCACGCUGUAAACGAUGAUCACUCGUUGUUGGCGAUAUACUGUCAGCGACUGAGCGAAAGCAUUAAGUGAUCCACCUGGGGAGUACGGCGGCAACGUUGAAACUCAAAGGAAUUGAUGGGGGCCCGCACAAGCGGAGGAGCAUGUGGUUUAAUUCGAUGAUACGCGAGGAACCUUACCUGGGCUUAAAUGUAGGACGACGUUUCGUGAAAGCGGAAUUUCCUUCGGGACGUCUUACAAGGUGCUGCAUGGUUGUCGUCAGCUCGUGCCGUGAGGUGUCGGGUUAAGUCCCAUAACGAGCGCAACCCUUAUCAUUAGUUGCCAUCAGGUCAUGCUGGGAACUCUAAUGAAACUGCCUACGCAAGUAGUGAGGAAGGUGGGGAUGACGUCAAAUCAGCACGGCCCUUAUGUCCAGGGCGACACACGUGCUACAAUGGCCAGUACAGAGGGUUGCUACCUGGUGACAGGAUGCUAAUCUCGAAAGCUGGUCUCAGUUCGGA
rnacentral:rRNA from 1 species